AGCAGCCGCGGUAAUUCCAGCUCCAAUAGCGUAUAUUAAAGUUGUUGCAGUUAAAAAGCUCGUAGUUGAAUUUCGGGGUCAGCAAGUUGGUCGUGCCACUGGUAUGUACUGGCUUUGCUGAUUCCUCCUUCUUGUAGAACCGUAAUGCCAUUAAGUUGGUGUUGCGGGAAAACAGGACUGUUACUUUGAAAAAAUUAGAGUGUUUAAAGCAGGCUAACGCUUGAAUACAUUAGCAUGGAAUAAUGAAAUAGGACGACGAUCCUAUUUUGUUGGUUUCUAGGAUUGACGUAAUGAUUAAUAGGGGUAGUUGGGGGCAUUAGUAUUCAAUUGUCAGAGGUGAAAUUCUUGGAUUUAUUGAAGACUGACUACUGCGAAAGCAUUUGCCAAGGAUGUUUUCAUUAAUCAAGAACGAAAGUUAGGGGAUCGAAGACGAUCAGAUACCGUCGUAGUCUUAACCAUAAACUAUGCCGACUAGGGAUCGGAUGAUGUUAAUUUUUUAAUGACUCA
rnacentral:rRNA from 1 species